UUUACUCAAAAGUGAAAUUUCUGUAAUUAUUUAUCACCUUCAUGUUUGUUCAUGUUUUUUUGUGGAACACAAAAUAACGAAUGACUGUCAUGCUCUAAAAAA